GAAAAUAAAUUUCCAACGUCUAACACACAUCGUUUACGGCAUGGACUACGAGAGUAUCUAAUCCUCUUCGCUACCCAUGCUUUCGUUCCUCAGUGUCAGUAAUGAUCCAGAAAGCUGCCUUCGCAAUUGGUAUUCUUUCUAAUAUCUACGAAUUUCACCUCUACACUAGAAAUUCUGCUUUCCUCUAUCAUACUCUAGCUGAAAAGUUUUGAUGGCAGUUCCAGAGUUAAGCUCUGGGAUUUCACCACCAACUUUUUCAACCACCUACGAACUCUUUAAGCCCAGUAAUUCCGAACUACGCUAGGUCCCUUCGUAUUACCGCGGCUGCUGGCACGAAGUUAGCCGGACCUUCUUAUUCGGGUACAGUCAUUUUCUUCCCCGACGAAAGAGCUUUACAACCCAAAGGCCUUCUUCACUCACGCGGCAUCGCUGCAUCAGAGUUUCCUCCAUUGUGCAAGAUUCCCCACUGCUGCCUCCCGUAGGAGUUUGGGCCGUGUCUCAGUCCCAAUGUGGCUGAUCAUCCUCUCAAAUCAGCUAUUGAUCAUAGUCUUGGUAGGCCAUUACCCUACCAACAAACU
rnacentral:rRNA from 1 species